rnacentral:rRNA from 1 species
CGAACGGCAGCGCGGGAGCAAUCCUGGCGGCGAGUGGCGAACGGGUGAGUAAUACAUCGGAACGUGCCCAAUCGUGGGGGAUAACGCAGCGAAAGCUGUGCUAAUACCGCAUAAGAUCUACGGAUGAAAGCAGGGGAUCGCAAGACCUUGCGCGAAUGGAGCGGCCGAUGGCAGAUUAGGUAGUUGGUGAGGUAAAGGCUCACCAAGCCUUCGAUCUGUAGCUGGUCUGAGAGGACGACCAGCCACACUGGGACUGAGACACGGCCCAGACUCCUACGGGAGGCAGCAGUGGGGAAUUUUGGACAAUGGGCGAAAGCCUGAUCCAGCCAUGCCGCGUGCAGGAUGAAGGCCUUCGGGUUGUAAACUGCUUUUGUACGGAACGAAACGGUCUUUUCUAAUACAGAAGGCUAAUGACGGUACCGUAAGAAUAAGCACCGGCUAACUACGUGCCAGCAGCCGCGGUAAUACGUAGGGUGCAAGCGUUAAUCGGAAUUACUGGGCGUAAAGCGUGCGCAGGCGGUUAUGUAAGACAGUUGUGAAAUCCCCGGGCUCAACCUGGGAACUGCAUCUGUGACUGCAUAGCUAGAGUACGGUAGAGGGGGAUGGAAUUCCGCGUGUAGCAGUGAAAUGCGUAGAUAUGCGGAGGAACACCGAUGGCGAAGGCAAUCCCCUGGACCUGUACUGACGCUCAUGCACGAAAGCGUGGGGAGCAAACAGGAUUAGAUACCCUGGUAGUCCACGCCCUAAACGAUGUCAACUGGUUGUUGGGUCUUCACUGACUCAGUAACGAAGCUAACGCGUGAAGUUGACCGCCUGGGGAGUACGGCCGCAAGGUUGAAA